rnacentral:rRNA from 1 species
UACAGAGGGGGCAAGCGUUGUUCGGAAUUACUGGGCGUAAAGGGCGCGUAGGCGGCCCGCUAAGUCGAACGUGAAAUCCCCGAGCUCAACUCGGGAACUGCGUCCGAUACUGGCGGGCUUGAAUCCGGGAGAGGGAUGCAGAAUUCCAGGUGUAGCGGUGAAAUGCGUAGAUAUCUGGAGGAAUACCGGUGGCGAAGGCGGCAUCCUGGACCGACAUUGACGCUGAUGAGCGAAAGCUAGGGGAGCAAACGGG